AGAAUAACAGGUUGGGUUAUAGUGGUAGCAGUGAAGAGUUCAGACGAGUUUUGCAGUGCGGAGAGUUGUCGUCUAUGUUGAGAGUAAGUCCCUGUUCUUGGGACAAAUCCGGCGUUGGAUACGGAUUGAUGAGUUGAGAUGAGAGGAACGAUGAUGCUGCGGUGCAGUCUACGAGCCAGACAUGUUAUCGAGCAGUGCAGGCGCCUAGUAUUAGAUCAGUAUGGGAGUUGGAACGAUUGGAGGCAUGCCGUGAUGAGAAGUUCUUGGAGAAUUAGCUAGAGGUUCGCCUAGUAUUAGAUCAGUAUGGGAGUUGGAACGAUUGGAGGCAUGCCGUGAUGAGAAGUUCUUGGAGAAUUAGCUAGAGGUUCAGAGUAUAGGGGAUUGUUUGACUCCAUAAGGGGAGGGACUAUCGGGUGUUGCACAACACUUUUCUGGAGCAGAUACGACUUCGCUGGUGAAAGAUAGUCGUGGGUUGAUUGUAUAUUAAUUGGUGUUGGUUUGAACCCUAGUGGGGGAGAACCGGGUGCAGUAUGUAAGAAAGCAAGAAUUGUCAGGAGUAGUAAUAAGUGGAGUAUAGAGAUGCAGUAGGAAAGCAUGAGACCAUAGGUGUCGAUGAUCGAGUAAAAAGGGGGUUCAUCGGAGCUUGCGGGUCCGGUGGUGCAUGCCGCAAGUGCGGAAAGGAGGGGCACUGUGCACGGGAUUGUUGGCAGUCAGUGCCAAUUCGGGAUUUGAGGAGGACAGGAUGGAGCGGAGCCCCAGAGGGCUCAGGGUCGUGUUUAUCUGCGUGCGACAGAGGGAGACGGAGCAGUGCCGGAGGCAGCUGCGGGUAUGAUGUUUUCAUGAUGUCUUAAUUGUCUUGCAUUGAUUUGGCGUAUUGUUUGUGCUGGUAUCUUGUAUGGAUUUCGAUGCGGUAUUCGUUGUUUCGCGGGUCUGGCAUGGUUAUGGAUUGGUGCUUCAGGUUUU
rnacentral:lncRNA from 1 species